UAUGUGAUCGUCUCUCGCAUAUCAAUAAGCGGAGGAAAAGAAACUAACAAGGAUUCCCUUAGUAACGGCGAGUGAAGCGGGAAGAGCUCAAAUUUGAAAUCUUCAAGGUUUUACCUUGACGAAUUGUAGUUUAAAGAAGUGUUUUCUGUUGAAGUUUUGGUAAAAGUUCUUUGGAAUAGGACAUCAUAGAGGGUGAGAAUCCCGUAUUUGACCAUUAUUUUCAGCUGUAUGAUACACUUUCAAAGAGUCGGAUUGUUUGGGAAUGCAGUCCAAAAUGGGUGGUAAAUUUCAUCUAAAGCUAAAUAUUGGCGAGAGACCGAUAGCGAACAAGUACCGUGAGGGAAAGAUGAAAAGAACUUUGAAAAGAGAGUUAAACAGUACGUGAAAUUGUCAAAAGGGAAGCGUUUGACACCAGUGUUGUUUUCUCGAAAAUCAAUUAAAAAGAGUUUGAUUUUGUUGUGUAUUGACCUUAACAGCUUGCAUUUCAAUUUUCUUGCUUUUUUUAAUGCACUUUUCGUUUAACAAGUCAACAUCAGUUUCUUUUGUUGUAAAAAGGUCAUUGGAAGGUGGCUUUCUUUUCGGAGAAAGUGUUUAUAGCCUUUGACUCCUGCAAUCGGAGAGACUGAGGUCUGCAGCGUAGAUCCUUCUGGGAUUAGAUUACAUUUGUGCUAAGUUAUAGCUUUUCAUAGACAACUUGUUGACUAUGAUUAGUCUUGUAGCUUACUCGCUUAUGCUAUUUUACCUACGCUUAGGAUGUUGACGAUCAGCUGAGCGCG
rnacentral:rRNA from 1 species